AAGUUGCUCUUAAGCAAGAUUUUACUAAUCAGGCAAAAAGUGGUCAUUUCUAGAAAUCACCCAGAAAGAAAAUACAACAUGUGGAGAUUCAAAGCUUGGGGUUGUAUUCUAAGGUAAGUCUCUAAAUAGCUCAAAAGCAUGAACAGACUCCUCCUUUCUCCUGAAGUUGGUGAACUCUGCUCCCAGGGAAGUCUGUUUCCCAGCCCUACCGAUGCUUCCAGGGGAAUCUGCAGACCUGUUCCUCUAGCCAGCCCACUGUGUCUGGUUUAGAAUCUUUAGUUAGGAUGCUUGAUUGCAGAUCUUUAGCUUCAGAUUUGUCACUUUUUUGCCUCCCAUUGUGGACAGGAUGUUUCAUUUACUUUAUCCUUGGCCCCAGCUGCCCAGUCAUCCAGUUAAACAGCCAACUUUUUCUCCUGACCCCAGAUCCUAGGACCCUAAUUCAUUGAGAAGCAGUAUUACACAGCUAGGCAUUUUUUUACCCUUCAAAUUAUGUCAAGUAGGGAAGGGUCAAUAGAUAUGGAGAAGAAAACAAUACUGACUGCUUACUAGGUGCCACGUAUUUUGCAGGGAUCAUUUCAGAAUCCUUACAACACCAUGAAGCAGUUAUUAUAUCCUCAUAUUGAACAUGAGAAAACUAAGACUUAGUUAAAUAACUUAUCAAAUUUACACAAAUAUGAAGUAGCAGAGCUGGGACUCAAACCCAGAUCUAUCUGAUUUCAAAAUAUUUGCCAUCUGUAAUACACUAACCAUAGUCUCACAGAAGGCACCAGCCUACCUACUUGACUGGAUCCACCUGUGAGGACCAAUGGGUAUGCCAUUGUUAUUUGAUUAAUGAAAUCCAUUCCUCAUUCAAGAGACACCUGAUACACGCUUUAGGCAUAGAAUGUAUAAAAGAUACAAAGAACAAAAUAAUAAUUGACCCUUAUCUUAAAAUUCUCUCAGUCUACAGGAAAGACAGUUAAAUAAGUAAUCAUAAUAUGGAGGAAUAUUGUGAGGGUUGUUGAUAAAAAAUGAUAAGGGGCUGGGGACAUAGCUAAGGGAGGAUUUAUUCUGGGAGUUAGGAGAGAUGUGUUCAAGGAACAUUUUUUUUUCUUUUUUUUUUUUUUAAAGCGGGAGACUUUUGAUCCAGACACAAUGUUUAAGUAAGGAUCUUCCAGGAAAAUAUGAUGGGCCAAGGGUUCCGGUUGGAAGAAACUUACGAGCAAAGAUACAGAGAUAAGCAAGUUUCUGGAAUGUUCUGGAACCUGUGAAUUAUCUGAUGUAGUUAGUAAAGUGCUUCUUGGGUGUCUGGCUCCAAAUACCCAUAGGAGUAGAGUAUAAAAGUUUUAUGUAACAUUUGGGGUGAGGAUGGAAAUUACCUUACCAAAGCAGAAUUUCAAGUUUUUUGCUUUUUUAAAAAAAUUGGUUUCUGGCAUUCUAUUCCAAACUAUGCAUGUAUUUGUUUAUAAACAAUGUUUUUAAUUUACUCACUAUGUGAAUUAUUUACCUUUUCUUGAGGAAUAUUUGAAACCCCAGGAUGAUGUACCAAGUUCAUCCAGGGGCUUUGUGUAUGCCCUGGUGACUUUACAAACCACUACCUCAGAGUUCAUGCCAUUCUGUCUCAUUUGAGAAGGAUGGAGCUCAAAUACAUGUGUAUGGUUAAGUCAUAUCUAGCGACGAGGCUGAAAACGGAAGCUGGGUUCAGUUUGUGAAGUGUUCAGAUCAAUGAGAUAAUGGGAUCAUGCACAUGUUUUUAUAAAUGUAUCAAAAAAUCUUUUCAUGUAAUAUAUGUUCUGAGACACAAUCUAAUUGUUCACAGCAGUUGGUUAUAUCAAUAAAAAAGCAGG
rnacentral:lncRNA from 1 species